AUAUCUAGGCAAAUUGCCUAGAAGUGAAUCCCCUCUCCUGCUUAAGUCCUUCCCACAGAGAGCGGUUUGAUAUGUCACUGAAACCAGCAUCCAGGUGGUAUUGCUCCAUAUGCCUGAGACCCUAACAAAAGCCUAAUUACAACUCAUAUGCCUGGAGCCAGGACAUGUGCAGGAUGGUGAUAUAACCCUCUUCUCUGGAAUGGGCCCCACACAAAGGAAGGAUAGUGACAUAUUGCAAGCCCAGGCACACAGGCCCAGAGCACAGUUGAAAUUGUGACAUAUGUACACCAAGCAACCAAGCAAUGUAUAACACCUCAUUUGGCAAUGGAAUCGAGGGCACUUUUACAUAUCACUGAGACCAGCGCCCAGCUGAUGUGAAAUAUUGGCCUGAACCCUGCCUACAAAAGCAUUGUGGCUUUUAUCUAGCUCCAUUACAUAAGUGAUGUGACUUCCUUCUACUGCCUUGGCCCUGCACUUAUGGUGAAUCGUGACACAAAAUUGGGUAGAGCAACCAGGUGAUGUGACCCUUUUUUUUUUGGCGGGGGGCCAGUCUGUCAAUAGGAAGCUUUAACAUAUCA
rnacentral:lncRNA from 1 species